CCUACGGGGGGCAGCAGUGGGGAAUAUUGCACAAUGGGCGCAAGCCUGGUGCAGCCAUGCCGCGUGUGUGAAGAAGGCCUUCGGGUUGUAAAGCACUUUCAGCGGGGAGGAAGGCGGUGAGGUUAAUAACCUCAUCGAUUGACGUUACCCGCAGAAGAAGCACCGGCUAACUCCGUGCCAGCAGCCGCGGUAAUACGGAGGGUGCAAGCGUUAAUCGGAAUUACUGGGCGUAAAGCGCACGCAGGCGGUCUGUCAAGUCGGAUGUGAAAUCCCCGGGCUCAACCUGGGAACUGCAUUCGAAACUGGCAGGCUAGAGUCUUGUAGAGGGGGGUAGAAUUCCAGGUGUAGCGGUGAAAUGCGUAGAGAUCUGGAGGAAUACCGGUGGCGAAGGCGGCCCCCUGGACAAAGACUGACGCUCAGGUGCGAAAGCGUGGGGAGCAGACAGGAUUAGAUACCCUAGUAGUC
rnacentral:rRNA from 1 species